rnacentral:rRNA from 1 species
CAGUCGCCGCGGUAAUACGUAGGGUGCAAGCGUUAAUCGGAAUUACUGGGCGUAAAGCGUGCGCAGGCGGUUCGUUAAGACAGAUGUGAAAUCCCCGGGCUUAACCUGGGAACUGCAUUUGUGACUGGCGGGCUAGAGUAUGGCAGAGGGGGGUAGAAUUCCACGUGUAGCAGUGAAAUGCGUAGAGAUGUGGAGGAAUACCGAUGGCGAAGGCAGCCCCCUGGGCCAAUACUGACGCUCAUGCACGAAAGCGUGGGGAGCAAACAGGAUUAGAUACCCCUGUAGUCCCUGUCUCUUAUAC